GGGGGGGUGGUUGAGUGGUUUAAGACAAUGGUUUGCUAAGUCGUCAUAUUUUAAUUAAUAUCAUGGGUUCGAAUCCCAUUCUCCCCA
rnacentral:tRNA from 1 species